GAACAGACGAGGAGCUUGCUCCUCUGACGUUAGCGGCGGACGGGUGAGUAACACGUGGAUAACCUACCUAUAAGACUGGGAUAACUUCGGGAAACCGGAGCUAAUACCGGAUAAUAUAUUGAACCGCAUGGUUCAAUAGUGAAAGACGGUUUUGCUGUCACUUAUAGAUGGAUCCGCGCCGCAUUAGCUAGUUGGUAAGGUAACGGCUUACCAAGGCAACGAUGCGUAGCCGACCUGAGAGGGUGAUCGGCCACACUGGAACUGAGACACGGUCCAGACUCCUACGGGAGGCAGCAGUAGGGAAUCUUCCGCAAUGGGCGAAAGCCUGACGGAGCAACGCCGCGUGAGUGAUGAAGGUCUUCGGAUCGUAAAACUCUGUUAUUAGGGAAGAACAAAUGUGUAAGUAACUAUGCACGUCUUGACGGUACCUAAUCAGAAAGCCACGGCUAACUACGUGCCAGCAGCCGCGGUAAUACGUAGGUGGCAAGCGUUAUCCGGAAUUAUUGGGCGUAAAGCGCGCGUAGGCGGUUUUUUAAGUCUGAUGUGAAAGCCCACGGCUCAACCGUGGAGGGUCAUUGGAAACUGGAAAACUUGAGUGCAGAAGAGGAAAGUGGAAUUCCAUGUGUAGCGGUGAAAUGCGCAGAGAUAUGGAGGAACACCAGUGGCGAAGGCGACUUUCUGGUCUGUAACUGACGCUGAUGUGCGAAAGCGUGGGGAUCAAACAGGAUUAGAUACCCUG
rnacentral:rRNA from 1 species